CACUGUCGUGGUAAAUUAACCGCGCGGUCCACAAGCGGCUCCUGGGACGGCCAGCGGGAAGGGAGUCCGCGAGGAUUCUGGGAACUGUAGUUCUGGUGUAGUUGAGCGGCCGAGGGCGGGGUGAGCGGUCGGGUCCUCUUUGGAGAGCGAGGCCUGCCGGGCCCGUGGCCCCACGGUGUCCCUCCCCUGCUGCAGUAGGGUGGGGAUAGGCCGGGCAGGGCCUAGGGUUGGGAGUUGGGGAGGAGUGCGGCUGCUGGGGGAGUGCGGCGGCCCAGGCCGGCGGGUUCGGGCGGUUUCGUGCUUGGAGGAGGGGGCGCGGCUCGAGGUGCGCGUUUGUGGCGGGGAAAUGGGGUGACUCCUCUAGCUGCGAAUCCCUGAAUUGCGGGGCGUUACGCGGAACUUCACUCCUCGGCUGGGGCGAGAGACCUGGAACUCAAAUUUCUUUCUUGGAAACGGGGUUCACCUUCUCACAUCCCUGCCUGCCCAGAGAGGACUGUAUAGAGAACAAGAGGACUUCUUGCAGGUGGAUACCACUCACCUUCCAUGUUUCUGCAGUGUCUUCUGUUCUCCAGACCUUGGGCAAAUUUCCUUUGCUCAUCCUGACGUUUUGUGCCCUGCAGUGUUCCAUUUGAGGCUCAGAGGACCUGCUUGUUUCUGUAGGAUACCAGGGCUGAUUUAAGGGCAAAGGCCUUUAACAGGGAAUAUUACCCCAGACAAGUGCUCUCAUUCAGGUUACCACCGUCCUUGCCCUAGCAACAUUUCAUCCUGGCUGCUGGAUUCCCAAGACUGUGUCAGCUGUUGUAAAAUAAAAAAUGAUGGUCCCGGCUGCAUGGCAACAAGUUGGGCUUUUAUAAGUAAGUUUUGGAGGAAUCACACCAGGCAGCAGAAAUUGAUCUUGAGAUGAAAUCAUUUCUACCAGGCCUCCUGGCAGAAUUUCAAGGCGAACACGGGGCUGACUCUGGGGCCAUGAUGUUGCCUGAUCCUUCUGCCUGGAGAGAGCAGGACUGGGAGGAGAUGUUGCCUUUGGAGAACAGGGAAGUUGCGGAAACUGUGAAGACACCGACUCAGAAUCACAAGGCAAAAGGUUUGCCUUCUCACAAGACUGACUGGCUUCAAGAAAAGGAGGGAAAAGUCCAAAAUACUGGUACCAGUUACAUUCAGGGAUGUGGCUGUGGUCUUCACAGAGGCAGAAUGGAAGAGACUGAGCUCUGAGCAGAGGGACCUAUACAGAGAAGUGUUGCUGGAGAAUUAUAGGAAUCUGCUCUCAUUGCAGAACCAAAGCCAGAGAUCUACCCCUGUUCUUCCUGCCUUCUGGCCUUUUUCUGUCAGCGGUUCCUCAGCUAACACACGCUGCAGAUCUUCCCGGGUGUGUGUGUAGAAAAUCACUUCCACCUGGGGGAUUCUGGCCUGGGGCAUCGGGGGCAGCAGUAUUCUGCUCACAGCUGCUGGAGUGAAAACACAGAAGGCCAAGAGAAAGAAGGUGACUCCAGACUCUGGUGCUCGAGGACAGAGGAGAGACGGCCCUUAUGUGCAUUGCCCAGCCCACCCUGAGAACAGUCAGCAAGUCCUGGAGAAGGCAGCGCAGUGGUAGAAAUAGAGGGCAGCGCAGCCCAAAGGGUAAACCCUUUGCAAGCAGACAAAGAAAUGAAGGAAUUAGAAACCUCAAGCUCUGGAGCAGUCAACUGUCAAGAACGUGAACUAGACUGUAGCCCCAAAUCAAACUGCAUUACAAACCAGACCAUCCUCUUAGGGGAGAAGCCCUAUGUCUGCAGGGAGUGUGGGCGAGGCUUUAAAGAUAAGUCGAACCUCAUCAGACACCAUUGGACACACUCAAUGGAGAAGGCUUAUGUGUAUAGUGAGUGUGGCCGAAGUUUCAGCCAGGUGUCAACCCUUAUUAAUUACCGGAGGACACACACAGUGAAGAAGCCUUACAUGUGCAAGGAGUGUGGGCGGGGCUUUAGCCAGAAAUCACUCCUCCUUGUGCACCAGAGGACACACUCAGGGGAGAAGUAUUAUAUUUGCAGGGAGUGUGGACGAGGCUUUAGCAACAAGUCAAGUCUCAUAAGACACCAGAGGACACACUGAGAGGAGAAGUCUUGUGUAUGCAGGGGUCCUGGGCAGGACUUUAGCAAUUAGUCGAACCUCUUCUUACGCCAGAGAGACAUGCGGGGAGUAGUCUGUAUGUGUGUGUGGGGUGUGAGUGAAGCUUCAGAGAUGUGUUGACCCUCAUCAGGCAGUGAGGCACAUUCAGGGCAGGAGCCUUAUGCGUGCAGAGUGUGGGUAGCUGUCAACCCUCAGUGCUCAAAGAGGACGCACUUAGGUGGGAAGUAUUGUGUGUGUAGGGACUGUGGGGAAGCUUUAGCAAUAAGUCAGCAUUUAUGGAACAUCCAGUGGCCGACUCAGGAGAAGCGUCAUGUGUUCAGGGAGUGCUGACAGGCAUUGGGGAAAGAACCAACAGGAGGGCUCCAGAUGGCUCACUCAGGGAGGAGCUGUGUGUUUGCAGGGAGUGUGGGCAAGGCUCUUGUGAUCAGUCAGCUUUCUUCACACACUGUAGGGAGAAUCCUUAUGUGGGGAUACGGUGGGGCUGCUCCAGCCAACUGCUGCUGAUAGCUGCAGAGAUGAAUUCCUCACUAGACUUGCUCUCAGCCACAGAGAGCUGCACUUCCCAAGGGAUGCCUCCUGGCCAACGACUGAUUGAUACGGGGAGACAAAACCCUAGCCGGACUCUGCUGGGACAACUCCACAGGGUCAUCCCAGAUCCCAGGGUCCCCAUGAAACUGAAUGAUCUCGAACACAUUGCAGGUCAGCUUCUUCCUCUGCUCAGUCCUGUCCUCAUUCCCCGAUAAGCCACUCAAUUCUCUGCCUCAUUGUCUCUCCAGGGAAUCCACCCUAAGAUAUCAUAAGCACACAAGGAGUGUGGACGAGGCUUUGGCUAAAAGUCGCUCCUCAACAAACCCCAGAGCAUACAGAAUAGAAGCUCUGUGUGUGCGGGGAGAAUGGGUAAGGACACCUCAGGAUGCAUCAGAGAACAGCUUUUGAGGGAGAAGCUUUACAAGGCAGGGAGGGAGACUGGGAAGAUUUAGCAGUAAGUUACACCUUCUGGUGCAGCCGAGGACACUCAGGGAGUCCUAUGUGGGUGGGGUUGUGGGCGGAGCCUUAUUCUGACACCGCUCCUCACAGAUCACUACCUCACUCACCUCCUGGGGGGGUUUCAGAAGUCUUGACCCCCACCCAUCCCCAUACUCUUUUUGAGAGUGAAGAUGGCAGUAACAACUUAAUAAACAUGUUUUUUCCACUUUUUGUAAUCAGAUGGAAUAAAAAAGUAGAAGGCUUUAUUUAAGUAAGAAUAAUCAAUUUGUUUUAUUUUCAAACACCAAUUUUUUCCCGUGUUUUCAUGUCUUUCUGUUCUCAUAAAUUGUUCAAUAAGCUCAGGCUAUGUACCUUAGUCACUCAUCUGUCUGGAAAGGAAUUAAAUUUCACAACCUGGAUUUCUGCAUGAAUUCAACGCUUGAGAAAAAAUAAGUCCCAAUCAACCUAGUAGAUUUAUUGGAGGAUCUGAUUCGUUGCAUGGGGAGGAUGAUGUAGGUUCUGGAGACAUGCCCACUGAAGCAAGGGAAUUUCCCGGGUCUCUGGGGGCUGGGUUGCCUCUUCUGACUGAUCACUCCCUUUGGCUUCUGUGAAAGCUCCCUUCCCUGACUUCUGUCUCUUCCUUCUAGUCUCUAUUCAGGUCUCUGCUGUAUCCUUCUCUACCACUGAAGCAUUGUUUUUCCUUCCAGAUUCCAGAGUCAGGUCCUUUAACCACGCCCAAACUGUUCUCCAGUCAUGAAU